rnacentral:rRNA from 1 species
CCUACGGGCGGCAGCAGUGGGGAAUAUUGGACAAUGGGGGGAACCCUGAUCCAGCCAUGCCGCGUGUGUGAAGAAGGCCCUCGGGUUGUAAAGCACUUUCAGUGAGGAAGAACGCCUGGUGGUUAAUACCCAUCAGGAAAGACAUCACUCACAGAAGAAGCACCGGCUAACUCCGUGCCAGCAGCCGCGGUAAUACGGAGGGUGCGAGCGUUAAUCGGAAUUACUGGGCGUAAAGCGCGCGUAGGUGGCUUGAUAAGCCGGUUGUGAAAGCCCCGGGCUCAACCUAGGAACGGCAUCCGGAACUGUCAAGCUAGAGUGCAGGAGAGGAAGGUAGAAUUCCCGGUGUAGCGGUGAAAUGCGUAGAGAUCGGGAGGAAUACCAGUGGCGAAGGCGGCCUUCUGGACUGACACUGACACUGAGGUGCGAAAGCGUGGGUAGCAAACAGGAUUAGAUACCCCGGUAGUC